rnacentral:rRNA from 1 species
UAGAGUUUGAUCCUGGCUCAGAAUGAACGCUGGCGGCGUGCUUAACACAUGCAAGUCGUACGAGAACUCUUUAGCUUGCUAAAGAAAGUAAAGUGGCGCACGGGUGAGUAACGCGUGGGUAAUCUACCUUUGAAUAUGGAAUAACAUGCCGAAAGGCAUGCUAAUACCGUAUACUAUCUUUAUACCUUCGGUUAUAGAGAUGAAAGAUGGCCUCUAUAUAUAAGCUGUCGUUCGGAGAUGAGCCUGCGUACCAUUAGCUUGUUGGUAGGGUAAUGGCCUACCAAGGCUUCGAUGGUUAGCUGGUCUGAGAGGAUGAUCAGCCACACUGGAACUGACACACGGUCCAGACUCCUACGGGAGGCAGCAGUGAGGAAUUUUGCGCAAUGGGGGAAACCCUGACGCAGCAACGCCGCGUGAGUGAUGAAGGCUUUCGGGUCGUAAAGCUCUGUCAAGUGAGAAGAAAAUAGAAAAUGCUAAUACCAUUUUUUACUGACGGUAUUACUAAAGGAAGCACCGGCUAACUCCGUGCCAGCAGCCGCGGUAACACGGGGGGUGCAAGCGUUAUUCGGAAUUAUUGGGCGUAAAGGGCGCGUAGGCGGCUUUUUAAGUCAGGUGUGAAAGCCCAAGGCUUAACCUUGGAAGUGCAUUUGAAACUAAAAAGCUUGAGUAUGGGAGAGGGAAGUGGAA